rnacentral:lncRNA from 1 species
GCUUAUCCGAAUAUUCUAUUGGCAAAUUCUACCAGCAUUCAACUGACCAAUCAGCUAAUUUUAUGCCAAAUGUAAAUAUCGUGAUCGUGUCACAUUUAAAUACUUUCGAAAAUAAUUAUAUUCUCUGUACCAUAAAAUGGACGGUCGCCGUAAUAACCAAAAAUGUAGUUCAUUUUGUAAAAGCAUUAUUAUCAAAGAAGAAGGGAAAGGCACUCGUCGUGUGGAAAACUUAAAAGGUGGGCGACGCAUGCCUUUCACAUGCAUUAUAUUAUCCAUCAAACCGAAUUAAUUGAACUUAUCCGGACU